AUAUAGCUUCAGACCAGGAAGAUGGCGAGAGCCAAGAUCUACCUGACACCCCUAACACCCAACCGGCCACUGAUGCAUCUGUGAGCAACAUGCUGCAGUCGCUACAGACAAACCUCAGGUCAGAUUUUUCCAAAAUGGCGGCAGACAUCAGGGCAGAUAUCCAGGCCCUGGGGGAUAGAACAGCACACUUAGAAGAGGCAACAGAG